GACGAACCGUGCGAACGUUAUUCGGAAUCACUGGGCUUAAAGCGCGUGUAGGCGGCUCGGAAAGUCGGAUGUGAAAGCCCUGGGCUUAACCUAGGAAGUGCAUUCGAAACUCUCGAGCUUGAGUUCUGGAGAGGAAGGCGGAAUUCUCGGUGUAGAGGUGAAAUUCGUAGAUAUCGAGAGGAACACCGGUGGCGAAGGCGGCCUUCUGGACAGUGACGUGACGCUGAGACGCGAAAGCGUGGGGAGCAAACAGGG
rnacentral:rRNA from 1 species